rnacentral:rRNA from 1 species
GACGAACGCUGGCGGCGUGCUUAACACAUGCAAGUCGAACGGGGUAUGGUAGGAGUAAUCCGAGCCAGACCUAGUGGCGGACGGGUGCGUAACGCGUGAACAAUCUGUCCCUGGAAGGGGGAUAACAGCUGGAAACAGUUGCUAAUACCGCAUGGGACCACGGUACCGCAUGGUACUGAGGUGAAAGGGCUUCGGCCCGAGCAGGGGUGAGUUCGCGUCCCAUUAGAUAGUUGGUGAGGUAACGGCCCACCAAGUCAACGAUGGGUAGCCGAUCUGAGAGGAUGACCGGCCACACUGGAACUGAGAAACGGUCCAGACUCCUACGGGAGGCAGCAGUGGGGAAUAUUGGGCAAUGGGCGAGAGCCUGACCCAGCAACGCCGCGUGAGGGAAGAAGGCUUUCGGGUCGUAAACCUCUGUCGCAGGGGACGAGUAGAUGACGGUACCCUGUGAGGAAGCCCCGGCUAACUACGUGCCAGCAGCCGCGGUAAUACGUAGGGGGCAAGCGUUGUCCGGAAUGACUGGGCGUAAAGGGCGCGUAGGCGGCGCAGCAAGUUUGGAGUGAAAGUCCUGCUUUCAAGGUGGGAAUUGCUUUGAAAACUGCUGAGCUUGAGUGUGGGAGAGGAUAGCGGAAUUCCCGGUGUAGCGGUGAAAUGCGUAGAGAUCGGGAGGAACACCAGUGGCGAAGGCGGCUAUCUGGACCAAGACUGACGCUGAGGCGCGAAAGCGUGGGUAGCAAACAGGAUUAGAUACCCUGGUAGUCCACGCUGUAAACGAUGGAUGCUAGGUGUAGGAGGUAUCGACCCCUUCUGUGCCGGAGUAAACACAAUAAGCAUCCCGCCUGGGGAGUACGGCCGCAAGGUUG